rnacentral:rRNA from 1 species
GGGUAACCUGCCUCAUAGAGGGGGAUAGCCUCCCGAAAGGGAGAUUAAUACCGCAUAACAUCAUGCUGACGCAUGUCAGAAUGAUCAAAGGAGUAAUCCGCUAUGAGAUGGACCCGCGGCGCAUUAGCUAGUUGGUGAGGUAAAGGCUCACCAAGGCGACGAUGCGUAGCCGACCUGAGAGGGUGAUCGGCCACAUUGGAACUGAGACACGGUCCAGACUCCUACGGGAGGCAGCAGUGGGGAAUAUUGCACAAUGGGCGAAAGCCUGAUGCAGCAACGCCGCGUGAGUGAUGAAGGCCUUCGGGUUGUAAAGCUCUGUCUUUUGGGACGAUAAUGACGGUACCAAAGGAGGAAGCCACGGCUAACUACGUGCCAGCAGCCGCGGUAAUACGUAGGUGGCAAGCGUUGUCCGGAUUUACUGGGCGUAAAGGAUGCGUA